rnacentral:rRNA from 1 species
CGAGUUCCCUUACGAUCACCGAUGUUAAGCAACAUCGAGCUUGAUCAGUACCUAGAUGGGUAACCGCUUGGGAAUAUCAGGUGCUGUAAG